AUCCUUCUGUAGUUCAUAAGCAUCAUGCCUGGGUUUUCGCGUUCCCAUGUGAGCUGUGCCUCCCUCAAACCUUGUCAUGGCAUCGGCACGUUACCCAUUUGAUG
ensembl:snoRNA